CCAUGUGAAGAGAGAUGCUGCUGUCUGAGAUAAGCAGUGCAGGAGGAGAAACAGGUUUGAGAUGAAGGAAAAGGGUGGUGAGUUCAAGUGGGAGUCUACUGAGACUUCUGCAGGAGUUCUAAAUGGAGUUCUGGCCCGGCCCAUGGAAACAGGGGACAAGAGUUCCUGGGAGCAGAUGACUGGCCAAGGCAAGGAUUUGGAAGAGUAAAGAGUAGCUGAAGCCCUGGAUGAUGCAGAGAUGUCCUGGUCUAGGCAGAGAACAGAGAGCUUGAUGUUUUAGGUUCCUGAAUUUCCUAGCAUAUUGGAGACGAUGAAUGCCGUUUGGAUCUCUUCCACGAAGAAGCUGGAGGUGUCGUGGAGAAGUGGAAUGGCUCACGCUUGUAAUCCCAGCACUUUGGGAGGCCAAGGCCGGAGGACUGCUUGAGCCCAGGAGUUUAUGACAAGCUGGGGCAACAGAGCAAGACCUUAUCUCUACAGAAAAUUUAAAAAUUAACAGGGUGUGGUGGUACAUGCCUGUAGCCCUAGCUACUUGGAAGGCUGAGGUGGGAGGGUCACUUCAGUCCAGGAGUUUGAGCCUGCGGUGAGCUGUGAUCAUGCCAUUGAACUCCAGCCUAGACAACAAAGGGAACCCCUGUCUUCAAAAAGGAGAAGAAAAAGAAAAACAAGAGAAAAGAGAAUGGCUGGUGUCAACCAAAUAAUUAAAUGGAGGCUCCAAAAUCAUAUGGACCAGAAGACAAUCUGCUUUACAAUCAGACGUGCUUCUGAAGACAAGAGGAUGAAGAGAAAGCAGUGGGGAAGGAGGGCCACCCCAUGAUCUGGGGCAGCUGAAUAAAGAAACCUCUGGGCCGGGCGCAGUGGCUCAUGCCUGUAAUCCCAGCACUUUGGGAGGCUGAGGCGGGUGGAUCACCUGAGGUCAGGAGUUCAAGACCAGCCUGGCCAACAUUGGGAAACCCCGUCUCUACUAAAAAUACAAAAGAUUAGCUGGGCAUGGCGGCGGGCGCCUGUAAUCCCAGCUACUUGGG
rnacentral:lncRNA from 10 species